rnacentral:rRNA from 1 species
CCCCGAGAUGAGUUAUCCCUGAGACUAUAAGUCUCCUGAAGGAACGUUAAAGACGAUGACGUUGAUAGGCCGGGUGUGUAAGCGCAGCGAUGCGUUGAGCUAACCGGUACUAAUGAACCGUGAGGCUUAACCUU